rnacentral:snoRNA from 1 species
GGUCAGUGAUGAGCAGUAAAAGGUCUGAUUACCCACAAUCCUCUCCUGCUGCCCUCUGGCUCCCAGCAACCCCUGCUCUCUGCUCCUAUCAUGCUCUAGUGAUGCAAUGGUAGAGCCAUGAGCUGCUGACAGACAUACGGGAUGUGACAUCACAGAGUCUGUUCCAGAUCCUACGGGCUCGAUGUGAUGAGUAACAUCCAACAGAACCAAUCAGCAUGGAGCGUCAGGCACAGGAGGCGGAGGGAGCUGAUCUUAAGUUUUCAAGCUGAGACC